CUCCUGGAGUCCCUAGUGCGCCAGGAGCCUCGCUCCGUUCUGAUUCGUAUGGGCUCCGCAGAGUUCCGCUUGCGUCAGGGGCCUUCGCCCCUAUAGCGGGGCAGCCAGCAGCGCACGGGCGAGUUCAUCUCUAAGUCUCCUUUUUUUUUUUUUUUUAAACGGCCGGCAGAACUUGGACCGGCCUUCCCGAGCCUCCGGAGCCUCCCGGGCCCCGCCAACAGCCUGGCUCACGCUCAGAGUCCUGAAAAUCUGCGGGUGUUUGCUUCGCCGAAAGGCCCUGGUUGGGGCUCGCUGCGCCCUGCCAGUGCCCCGGGAAUGCUGACCCCAGCGAGGAGAGGUGAUCCAAGCCUCUGGGCAGCUUUCAGGUGAAAGAAAACAAAACCCUUUGCUCUGUGCUUCGGGCUGUGCUGGGGCUAGACUUCUAGCUUUGAGACUUAGGGAGGGGCGAGAUGCUAAGGGGGCCGGACCGGGGUGGAGUGGCCGAACUUUGCUGCAGCUGGAGGUAAACCAGCUCAGAGCUCGUGUCAUGGAAGGCAGAAGCUUCGGCCUGCUCUGUCCCUCGAGCUCUCUGAGCCCAAUUGAGGCUGGGGAGAGGAUCGCUGGGAAGAGACACCCAGGAGUACAGCUCACUGGCAUCGGAUGUUUCGCUUCUCUGUGCUGAGGUGGAUGUAGGGACCAGCUUUCUCCGUGGAACUCGCCUUGCAAUCCCACAAUUUGGGUGUGUGUUUUAAAGAUCAAGUGGUAUCCCUUGUACUCUGGCUUGGACACAGACCGAGGAUGUUGCUGAGGGGCUUUGGGGACUGUUGCGUGCACAAGUGUCACGCGUGAAAGGCAUGGGGCAAAAAUCUGUUCUUAAGAUACAGGUGAUACUGCGCAAGGGUGCUGUUCAGAAACCCAGCCUUUACCUGCGUCUUCUCCUUCCAGCAGAUAAUAGCCGAAGUCUGGUGGGGAUCCAGUUACAUCUCCGAAAAUAGAAAACGGACUUAGAGGAAUUCCUUCUGUGCCAGCACAACAUCAGGUUGCUUGGACUUUAAGAGUUCUCCAGAAUCCCACGAGCCCACACUGGCCAGUGGCUCCAGCGGUCCGGUCCGAAGACCACUUAUCUCACUUAUCUACAGUGUGUGGUUCCCACUCUGAGAUGAAGGGAAAGGAGGACAGUGUGUGUGUGUGUGUGUGUGUGUGUGUGUGUGUGUGUGUGUGUAGUCCAACAUCUCAAAGAUGACUACAGAGAGGUCAGCCGGGCAAACCCGGCCUAACCACCAGGAUACAAGGGAGGAUCAGCACCCCAAUCCCAGGUGGAGAAAGGGUGCCCCUUGUGCGCUCAAGGCUGGGAAACACAACUGCAGGGCGCCCCAAAGGGUCACCUUCCGGACCGCGCGUCUGGCCCUGGGUAAGCAGCCAGAGCUAAGAAGACUGGGAUGAAGGUGCUUGCCUGUUCGGUGGUACAGCAGUAGGUGGAUAGAGCAGGCGCUCUAGAAAGUGGCCGGGUGGACUUUGAUUUACUUCUUACUCCUACCCAGUCCCCUUAGGCAGGCUGGGUAGGGACCCAGGUCUAUCUGUUUCUCUAGGCCUGUGCGGGCCCGUUGUGCAGCCCCCGUUUCAUUCUGGCAAGGUUAGGCACCAUCCAUAUAGUGGCCGAGGCCUCGGUCCUGAGCCAGGCGGAGGAACUCCGUGUUUCUCUGGCCCGGGUUUUCAGGAACCCUCAGCGCCUCCAACUCCUUGUGCCUCUAGAGAAAUGCCUGCCCAUGCCUUGCCGGGGGAGCCAGGGACAGAGCAGAAGCCUCUCAGCAAGCUGGUCUAACGCUCCGAAGUCUCGACCGCCGCCUACGUGAGCAAGUCGUGGAUCCCCGGUGAAGAUGCUUUUCUCCCGGGCCGAGCUUCCUGCAGCUGCCGCAGAAACACCGCGGACCGCCAGGCGAGGCAGGUACCUUUUGGCUCUGGUGUUUUGCUUGGUGGAAUAAAAGAUCAGUGACCUGUCUGAACAGAAAGGAUACCAUUGUAUGGAAAUGGAAAUUCAAGUCCAGAGACAUACAUGGUCAUGCAUGAUGACAAGGUCCCACUGUAUAGUCCUUGCUGGCCUGGAACUCUCUUGUAGACCAGGUUGGCCUUGGCUGAGAUCUGUUGAGCACCGGUAUUAAAGGCCGACAGAACUCUGUAUUUUAUGCCUAAUCCAAGUGUGAACACCCGUUUUCUCCCGCACCCGCACACUGCCACUUUCCUAGUUACAGAGUAGCAACUAGUGCACCAAGCUCGGCACCAUAGAACUCCUUCUAUAGCAGUCCCUCCCACUCCCGGGGUCCCUCUCUUAGCUCAGGCUACCCUGGAGCUUGAGAUACUCCUCCUUCAGACUCUCAGAUUUCAGAUAUGUGUCGUGAUGCCCCAUCUCAAUGCAUUUUCUUUAUAGAGCUGAGAGGGGCUGUGUUCUGCAUCUUCACGGUCAGCUUGAUUGAAUUUGGAAUCACGUAGGAAACACACUUGUGAGCAUGUUUGUGCAGGAGGGCAUCCCCACGGACUGGGGGGCCCUGGACUAGAUACAAAGAAGGGAGGAAGGCAUCAGAUCGAAGAUGGGAGUAAGUCAGCAAAGCACCAGCGUUUAUCUCACUGCUUCCUGACUGUGGACACAAUGUGACCAUCUGCCUCAUACUUCUAAGGGCCAUGCUCUCCCUACCAUGGUGGACUCUAUACCCUGAAUCUGCAAGCCCAAAUAUAUAUGUGUACACACACACACACACACACACACACACACAUAUAUAUAUAUACACAUACAUACUCAUAUACAUAUACAUACACACAUAUACAUACACACAUAUAUACACACAGAUAUAUAUACACAUAUGUAUAUAUAUAUUUAGUUUUUUUAUUUAUGCAUGUGCGUACCCACUCAGUGGUGUGUGUAUUUGUCUCUCUGUGUGUAUGUGUGUGCGUGUGGUGUGUGCCAUUGUGUGUGAGGAUACCUGAGGAUUUCAGUUAGAGUCCCAGUCAGUUGUGAACUUCCCAGUGUGGGUGCUGGGAAUCGAACUUGGGUCCCCUGGAAGAACAAUAAAUUCUCUUACUCCC
ensembl:processed_transcript Foxl2os forkhead box L2, opposite strand